AACAGAACAAGCAGGAAAAACUGCUCACAGUUCUGAUUCCAUAUUUCUAAAGAUAAGGGUGAAUAUUGAAGUUACAACAUCUUUAGAAAGUCUAUGAUGUUCCUAUAAAAAUUGACAUCUCUAUCUUUCUUAAAAUAUUUCAUUUAAGAAAAUGCUUAUUGAUGUAUUAAAAUUGUUAUAAAAAUGUUAUUUAUAUUCAAAUUUUAUAAUAAAGCUCAGGGGUACAUGUGUAGGAUAUGCAGGUUUGUUACAUAUGUAAACAUGUUCCACGGUGGUUUUCUGCACAGAUCAUCGCAUAAUCUAUGUAAUAAGCCCAGCAUACGUUAGCUAUUAUUCUUGAUGUUCUUCCUCACCCACCCCCACCCCUCUGACAGGCCCCAGUGUGUGUUAUUCCCUGCUUAUGUCCAUGUGUUCUCAUCAUUCAUCUCCCACUUACAAGUGAGAAUAUGUGGUGUUAGGUUGUCUGUUCCUGCAUUUGUUUGCUGAGAAUAAUGACUUCCACAUGGACUCCAUCCAUUGUCUCUGCAAACGACAUGAUCUUAUUCCUUUUUGUGGCUGCAUAGUAUUUCAUGGUAGAUAUAUACCGCAUUUUCUUUAUGCACUUUAUUGCUGAUGGACAUUUAGAUUGAUUCCAUGUCUUUGCUAUUAUGAAUAGUGCUGCAAUGAACAUACAUAUGCAUGUGUCUUUAUAAUACAAUGAUUUAUAUUCUUCUG
rnacentral:lncRNA from 10 species